rnacentral:rRNA from 1 species
CAGCAGCCGCGGUAAUACGAAGAGUGCAAGCGUUAAUCGGAAUUACUGGGCGUAAAGCGUGCGUAGGCGGUUUGUUAAGUCUGUUGUGAAAUCCCCGGGCUCAACCUGGGAAUGGCAAUGGAUACUGGCAAGCUAGAGUGUGUCAGAGGAUGGUGGAAUUCCCGGUGUAGCGGUGAAAUGCGUAGAGAUCGGGAGGAACAUCAGUGGCGAAGGCGGCCAUCUGGGACAACACUGACGCUGAGGCACGAAAGCGUGGGGAGCAAACAGGAUUAGAUACCCCCGUAGUCCCUGUCUCUUAUAC